UCGAUCCCUGCACGGCAGAACGACCCGCGAACACGUUAACAUUAAGGGGAACGGAGGACCCUAGGGCCCAACGUCCCCCACCCGGUCGGCGGCUAAGGCUACGCCCGCGUCCCGACUUACAACUCACCCCGGCGCGGCACGCGCCAAGGAAACUAAAUGGAAUGAUGCGGUUCUGACGUCCCGUUCGCGGGGUGCGCCAGGACGCGGCGUCUUCUUAUGUAUCUUAAACGACUCUCGGCAACGGAUAUCUCGGCUCUCGCAUCGAUGAAGAACGUAGCGAAAUGCGAUACUUGGUGUGAAUUGCAGAAUCCCGUGAACCAUCGAGUUUUUGAACGCAAGUUGCGCCCGAAGCCAUUAGGCCGAGGGCACGCCUGCCUGGGCGUCACGCGCUCUGUCGCUCCUCCUGCCACCGAAUGCCGUNUCGGCACUUCNCGGCACGANGGNGCGGAGAUUGGUCUCCCGUGCGCUGUCGCUCGCGGUUGGCCUAAAAANGAGUCCAAGGCGUGCGCGCCGCGGUCGACGGUGGUUGAGAAGCCUUCGACAAACAGCCGCGGCUGCGCUGCCUCGAAACGGACCCUACGACCCGCGCGCGUCUCCCUCUUCUUCCUCGUGGGUCGGGGUAGGUCGCUCCAUCCUGCGACCCCAGGUCAGGC
rnacentral:misc_RNA from 1 species